rnacentral:lncRNA from 1 species
AUGUGUAACAAUCCGAGCCGCUAACGAUGAUAACUCACUGUACCUUAGACCAGCAGCGCAGAAUAUCUACAUCCAACUUGAGUAGACUUAUAUUUUUAAUUUGAACCUCUUUUUCAUCUGAUUUGAAAUUAUUGGUGUAUUACCAACUCUUUCCGUUUGGUCUCAAACGUCAUCUUCGGGACCAAACUCACAUAGCACUUAGUUUUUACAUUUCUAACUGGUAUUUAGUUCUAAUACAAAAUAUAACGAUCCGACUUAAUAGCAAUGGCUUUGAUACCAAAUAUAACAACUCGACCCACUGACAAUAAUAACUCGUUGAGUUUUAAACCGCCGGUCUAAAAUAUUUAAGUUUAGUUAUUAUUCUUAGAGUGUGUAGCCUCUUAUAUUCUCAAUCAAAAUAUCUUUUUUAUCUGAUGUAGGAUUAUUGGGGUGUCAUUUUAUAUUUCAAUAAUAUAUCUAUAUCAAACUAUACUAAUGAUCUAGUAGUAC